AAAGGCUUAGUUGAGUUGAGUAUAUUAUUUCCUUCUCUUGCAAAUGCUAUCUACAUUUUUUUUUAACUUUUCUUUCAUAGAUUUCACCAAUUCAAGUGUUCUGGUACACGUUUAGGGGGUAGAAGCGAUUCAGGUAACACGUUCUAAUACGCAUUCAAACUUGAUUGUUUUGAACAUGUACUUAAUAACCAAUUCACAAUCUCACUCAGAGAUCCCAGAACCAUCAAAUAAACACCAAACUUCAAAAUAGAGCAAUUAUAUCUUCAGUUACUCACAAUCUGCAGCUUAAUUGUCUUGCCAUCCAGCUCCACAGUUCUGAUUUU
rnacentral:misc_RNA from 1 species